GACGAACGCUGGCGGCGUGCUUAACACAUGCAAGUUGAACGGAAUAUGUUGGAAGGGUAACCGGAAGGCAUAUUUAGUGGCGAACGGGUGAGUAAUGCAUGAGAACGUAUCCUCAAGAGGGGGACAACAUUGGGAAACCGAUGCUAAUACCCCAUAAGCCGGGAGGUAAAAGGAGCAAUCCGCUUGAGGAGCGGUUCAUGUCCUAUCAGCUAGUUGGUGAGGUAACGGCUCACCAAGGCGAAGACGGGUAGCCGGCCUGAGAGGGUGAACGGCCACACUGGAACUGAGAGACGGUCCAGACUCCUACGGGAGGCAGCAGUGGGGAAUUUUGGACAAUGGGCGCAAGCCUGAUCCAGCAAUGCCGCGUGCAGGAUGAAGGCCUUCGGUUGUAAACUAGCUUUUGUUACGGUAACGAAAAGGACUACUGGUUAAUACCUAGGGGCGUCAUGACGGUACCGUAAGAAUAAAGACACCGGCUAACUACGUGCCAGCAGCCGCGGUAAGAGUACUCUAU
rnacentral:rRNA from 1 species